rnacentral:ncRNA from 1 species
CAUUUGGUUCAUGUGCUUGGCUGAAAGCCAAUGGUGCGAAGCUACCAUCUGAGGGAUUAUGACUGAACGCCUCUAAGUCAGAAUCCCGCCUGGAAAGCGACGAUGCAUUCGUGCCUCGGCCUCGAGAGGCGUAGCUAGACGGCCGCGUGGCCGUGGAAAGAGCCCGAUUCCGACCCGAAGAGGCCGCGGCAAGAGGCGGCCUCGAAGUCGGUGGAUCCUCCUGCUCGAAAGGCGGGGUGCUAAACCAUUCGCAGACGACCUAGUUGAAGAUCGGGGUGUCGUGAUCACUAGAGCAGUACAUCUCACUGCGAUUUGUUGAGAGUAAGCCUCAAGAUCUGUCGGUUUGU